CCUACGGGUGGCAGCAGUGAGGAAUAUUGGUCAAUGGACGAGAGUCUGAACCAGCCAAGUAGCGUGAAGGAUGACUGCCCUAUGGGUUGUAAACUUCUUUUAUAAAGGAAUAAAACGAGGCACGUGUGCCUUUUUGCAUGUACUUUAUGAAUAAGGAACGGCUAACUCCGUGCCAGCAGCAGCGGUAAUACGGAGGAUCCGAGCGUUAUCCGGAUUUAUUGGGUUUAAAGGGAGCGUAGAUGGGUUGUUAAGUCAGUUGUGAAAGGUUGCGGCUCAACCGUAAAAUUGCAAUUGAUACUGGCAGUCUUGAGUACAGUUGAGGUAGGCGGAAUUCGUGGUGUAGCGGUGAAAUGCUUAGAUAUCACGAAGAACCCCGAUUGCGAAGGCAGCUUACUAUACUGUGACUGACAUUGAUGCUCGAAAGUGUGGGUAUCAAACAGGAUUAGAUACCCCAGUAGUC
rnacentral:rRNA from 1 species